rnacentral:lncRNA from 1 species
CUGAUUCCGCCAUCGCCUCCUCCUCCUCAAUUCCAGCCGCGACGUCAGAGAAAUGCAAGAGGUCGUCUGUCAUGUGUUGGAUCACUUGAGAGAGGAAGGUCCACAUACUACGAAGAGAAGGUUCGAGACCGUUAAAGUUUUGCGUCUUUUAGGUAUGGAACUUUCUCUCAAUCGAUUUCUAUCUCUUGAUUUCAGAUUUGAAAAUAGGAUGUAACAUCUUUUAGUUUUGUUUCUUAAUUUCUUUUGUCAUAUACUAAAUUACUUUGGAUAUAUAUAUGCAUGCUUACUCCUUCUGUUCGAUCCCCAGCUUACGACGACCUCGAGUUUUUUUAUUCCAGUGCGUUAGUUGACGAUUAACAUAUUGUGUUGCAGCGAAUUUGAUGAUAACAAGAAUUUGUUGCACGAGAUCACUAGACUUUCACCUAAGGCGAAGAUAAGCUCUUUAUUAGUUCUCUUGACAUAUUGCAUUACGAGAAACAACAAAAAAAUGUAUGGCCUAAAUCACCAGGCAUCUCCUUCUGCUAUAUGAACCUAAUUUACUUAGAAUUCUGCUGAUAAUUAGUAAGAAGUAUACUUGAUAGAGUAAUAUCAAUAUUCAAUGUUUUGUAUGUUUGUGUUUUGUCUAGGAUUAGUCUCUUCAGUUUGUUCAAAGUGCUUCUCUUCAGAUUGAUCAUAUAAUUUGGAAGCUUAAUUAAAUCUAUUAUAUUGGCUCUGUGUUUGAUUAUCUUUUCUCUAGGCACUUCUCUCCCGAGAUGUUCAGUCCAACAUUGCUCCAGCAAGUAGUGAACGUUACGGCAUAACAAGUCAACAAUACGAGGUACUGAAGCUGCAACGUGCUCUCAAGCAAGACCCCAUG